GCCUUCGCGGUAUAAUGGUCAGUACACUCGAACCGUAUUCGAGAAGUUCGAGGUUCGAGUCCCGGCCAAGGCA
rnacentral:tRNA from 1 species